GUGCAAUCAGUCCAACGGGUGAAGAUGAAAUGACCAAAAGGGUCUGAGAUGUAUCAUUCUUUACACAAAAUUGGGUGUAAAAAAGACUGUACAAGCUUCCAUCUUUCACUUUCACAAAAUCUCUGCUCUUCAUCUUCACCGGCUUCACCGGUGGUUCUCCGACGAAUCCCUUUCACUGGCGCGACAACAGAAACACCCUUCGAACAAACAAUGGGUAGAUCUUAAAAUAUCUGAAAGCUAUGGCUUAUGGAGAACAUCGGAAAGGCUGUCGGUAUAGGGAAAGGGACUCCCAAAAUAUACGCAACCAUCGAUCUCGAGAAGUCCCGAGUCGGACGGACGAAAUUGAUCGAAAACGAGCCCAACAGCCCGAGGUGGUACGAGUCUUUCCACAUCUACAGUCUCAUGCUCAAUUGCGAGGAUCACGCCAACCUCGUGAAGGGGGGAGGGUCAGUUUGCACCCACAUGGCUCAUAAUCUCCGCAAAACAAUGAAAUUACCUGCAACUGGGCAUGAAAAAUCUAAAGGUCCAUCAACUGGAAAAAUAAUAUACAAUCAGAAAAGAAUUCAUUGGAUUUGUCUAGUGCCUAGUUUUUUAGGAAACGGGGUUAUCAUUCGUCUGAAAUUGGGAUGGACACUGGUCAUGACAAAGUGUUCUUGGAUUCCGAAGAUGUAGGCCAGACUCUUGAUCUGUCUUUUCUUGGGUUCGUAUGGAGAGUUUUCAAGAGGCUUGGACACGUGUUUGGAAUUGAAAGUUCGAAGAUUAUGAGCCACGUGUUUUAUCGUGAUGCAACAGUUGCUCUUAAACAAGGUGAUGAUGAACCCAUCCGGUAAAAAAAUAUUCACAUUGUUUAAGGUUAAUAAAUUAGUUACUAUUACAUAUCGUGAUCCUCUGUGUUUAUUGACAUGUUUUGGUCGAUUAUGACGACGCAAUGAGUUCGAAAAGACUGCUAGAAGAUUAACUAUUCUUAUGAAACCAAGCAACAAUGGUGCUAAAAGGAAAUUGAUCACCGGUUUGCCAACCGCUAAGCGUGAACUUGUUUCCUCGAACCAGACAGGACCCUCGAGCAUAUAUGAAUAAUUUCAUACCUAAACAAGUCAACUUUGUGAAAUUAUUCAAGAGUGUUAUAUUAUUAAACUCCCUUUUAGAUUAUUUUUUACCGUCGGAUCGAAAGCUGCUAUUUUAUGUGCAUGUUAAAACUUCAAUCAUUAUAGCUUUAAUGAUGUGGAUUGUCUUCUAUUUUGCCUUUCCUUAAUGUUGUUAUCUAAAUGUGUAGCCUGAUGAACACUAAAAAUGGUUUACUAUUGUUCUCUAUCUCUCUA